CUGAAGAGGUAGGCCUCAGGCACUGCAGGUUGUUGAGUCAUAACAGUCUGAAGUGCCUGAGCGAACUGAUCCAUCCUAUGAUCAAGUUCUUCUACUUUGGUCUCAUAUGUAUUAAUUUGCUGGCUAAUAUUUGCAGAAUCCAUAAUGGUCCUGUUGUAAUGUCAUGGACAGGUAGGAUCUAACAAGCAAAGACAUGCACAGCAAAUGCCAAAGAAGAGAAAAAAU